GACGAACGCUGGCGGCGUGCUUAACACAUGCAAGUCGAACGGGUCUGCCCUGUUUUUUGCGGGGUGGGUCAGUGGCGAACGGGUGAGUAACACGUGAGUAACCUGCCCCUCACUUCUGGAUAACCGCUUGAAAGGGUGGCUAAUACGGGGUGUUCUGGCUGUGCCGCAUGGUGUGGCUGGGAAAGAUUCACUUUUGUGGUGUUUUGGUGGGGGAUGGGCUCGCGGCCUAUCAGCUUGUUGGUGGGGUGAUGGCCUGCCAAGGCUUUGACGGGUAGCCGGCCUGAGAGGGUGGGCGGUCACACUGGGACUGAGAUACGGCCCAGACUCCUGCGGGAGGCAGCAGUGGGGGGUAUUGCACGAUGGGCGGAAGCCUGAUGCAGCGACGUCGCGUGAGGGAUGGAGGCCUUCGGGUUGUGAACCUCUUUCGCCGGUGAAGAAGGUCCUGCUCUUUGUGGUGGGGUUGACGGUAGCCGGGUUAUGAAGCGCCGGCUAACUACGUG
rnacentral:rRNA from 1 species